ACGAACGCUGGCGGCGUGCUUAACACCUGCCAGUCGAACGGAAAGGCCUCUUUCGGGGGGUACUCGAGUGGCGAACGGGUGAGUAACACGUGAGUAACCUGCCCUUGACUUUGGGAUAACUUCAGGAAACUGGGGCUAAUACCGGAUAGGAGCUCCUGCUGCAUGGUGGGGGUUGGAAAGUUUCGGCGGUUGGGGAUGGACUCGCGGCUUAUCAGCUUGUUGGUGGGGUAGUGGCUUACCAAGGCUUUGACGGGUAGCCGGCCUGAGAGGGUGACCGGCCACAUUGGGACUGAGAUACGGCCCAGACUCCUACGGGAGGCAGCAGUGGGGAAUAUUGCACAAUGGGUGGAAGCCUGAUGCAGCAACGCCGUGUGCGGGAUGACGGCCUUCGGGUUGUAAACCGCUUUCGCCCAUGACGAAGCUUUGUGUGACGGUAGUGGGUAAAGAAGCACCGGCUAACUACGUG
rnacentral:rRNA from 1 species